UACGGGGGGGGCAAGCGUUGUUCGGAAUUACUGGGCGUAAAGGGCUUGUAGGUGGCCAACUAAGUCAGACGUGAAAUCCCUCGGCUUAACCGGGGAACUGCGUCUGAUACUGGAUGGCUUGAGUGUGGGAGAGGGAUGCGGAAUUCCAGGUGUAGCGGUGAAAUGCGUAGAUAUCUGGAGGAACACCAAUGGCGAAGGCAGCUCGCUGGGACGGUACUGACGCUAAGGCGCGAAAGCGUGGGGAGCAAACAGG
rnacentral:rRNA from 1 species